GGAAUCCAUGCUUACCAACAAUUUAUUUGUGUUUACAAGUAUUUUCAAUUUUCAUUAAUUUUUAUUUUACUAUAAUUUUUAAAUGUUAGUUUGUUUUAUAGUAUAUUGUUUAUUGUGUAUCAUAUGAUAAAAGCUUGUACCAAAAUUACCUAUUGCACCUACCUCUAUUAUCAAUUUUGUUUGAAAAAUUCAUACUUUAAAAAUAAGAUAUAGGUUAUGUUUAAUUGAUACAUAUGCAUUGUUUUCUUUGAUGAAAAAAAAUUAAUUUGUUAAACAAUAACACAACAGAUGCAAUUUUUGGCGGGUCAAAGCUCAAACAAUAAAAAAAAAUGCAAGAAGAACGUUUUAUAAUUAAAUAUAUAAGUGUAAAUAAUUGUUUUCUUUAUCUACCAGAUACGUGGCUGAGAAAAUUAUCAUCAAAGCCAAAUGUUGUAAGACUGACUCAUAAAUGUAUAGAUUAUUACUUAUCCUGGUUUUUAUUACCAAGUCCAAAUGUCUUUCCUUCAUUAAGUGCAACUUUUGCAAGAAGCUUAGGCAUUGAGGAAGGAGAUGAAAUUUUUAUUACUUGUGAAUCUGAACCACCUUCUCUUACAAGUAUAACAGUGAUUCCAAAAAGUAUACAAGAUCAGGAAAUUUUAGAGCAUCAAUGUGAUAAAAUUCAAUCUAUUCUUUUGGAUCAAAUAACUGUUGUUGCAAGAAAUCAAUCAAUUGUCGUGUGGGUUUCUAAACGACUGCAUGUAACAAUUCUAGUUGAUUCGCUCAAUCCAAAUUUUCGUUAUGGGAAAUUGUUCGAACAUUCCGAAGUUCAUGUAAAAAAUGCAACUGAUAAAAUUAGUACAAAGUUUAAUAAAAAAUCGAAAAUCUCUCGUGAUAUAAAUUCCAAAAGUGCAAUGUGGAGCAUAUUCAAGUAUCUGCCACCGAUAUUUUCCGAGACGAAUGAAAUCUCAAAUGAGGAGCACACAUCCAUUGACUUUCAGGCAGAAUUGAAUAAAUAUAUCAAUAUUGGUCCUCCUCAAGCUUUCCGAGUACAUGAAAUGUUCAAAAUAGAAGAUAUUUCUGAGGCAAAUGCAUUCGAUGUUUCCUUACAGUGUCCGUAUAAUGUCUUUAUUCACAAAUGUCACUUACCAAAUGAUUUUCAUUCAUCACAUGAGAAUUUUUAUAAAAUCAGAAAGAUUAAGGAGAAUCGACAAUACGAUGAAACAAGUAGCGAUUUUUUAAGAGAUAAUACUCAAACUGUGCCUAAAGAAUCAAAUGAGUUAAUUGUUAAAUUAUUCUGUUUAGAAGAUUAUUUAGAGCAAUGCUCCAGUCUUAUUGACAAAGAAUAUUUUCUAGUAUCUCCCUUACAUAAAUGCAUUUAUCUCACAUCAAAUUUAAAAAUGAAUUUAAAAGUCAAAAUUGGAGGCAAAGUACUUUUAAAAUCAUAUGAAUCAGAAGAAAACAAAGUUACAUCUAUUGAAAUUUUUCCUUUUAAUAACAACGUGACUUGUGAUGAUUUUCAAAAUUUUGUGAAACAACAUUCCAAAUAUGAAAAAAUAGUUAUAAAUUCUUGUGCUAAAAUUGCAUUUGAUAAUAAGAAAAGCUGUCUUUUGAAAAUUAACCCUGAGUGUAAAUAUGCUUAUCUCAAUGCUGAUUGUUUAAUGAAUUUGAGAAUACAUAUAAGUAGUAUUGUAAAAAAUGAUAAAGGAGACAUUAAUGAAAAUUUAAACAAUGAUGGAUCGUGGAUUAAAAAUAUUACAGUCAGAAUUUUCGAUGAUUUACUUUCAAAAUGUGAACUUACGUUACGUUUGAGUUUGGGUUUACAUAAUAUAAAAGACUUGGAUUAUAAUCGUGAAAAUAUUUUAAUUUGUGGUGAUACAGGCUCAGGAAAAACAACUGUUUGUAAAUUAUUAGCUAAUCAAAUACAAAAGCCUCCAUAUUUUAUUCACACACACGUAAUUGAGUGUAUGCCACUUAAAGGCAAAAAAAUGGAAGUAAUACAAAAAGUAAUUCAAUCUGCAAUGUCAGAUUGUGUAUUUCAUGAAUAUUCAGUGUUGAUUCUUGAUGAUUUAGAUAGCAUAACAAAUGCUGCAACAAAUGAUGAAGAAAUGACUCCUGAUUCAAUGAAUGCUGCCAGAAUAACAGAUAUGAUAUUCAAUACAUUGUCACAAUAUCAAACGAUCCAUUACAUUACAUUGAUAGCUACUUGUUCAAAUAUAAAUAAACUUGGAUCAAAAUUUAAAAUUGCGAAGGGAGUUCAUUUCUUUCGGACUAUUGAGUCGAUACCGAUUUUAGAAAAGAAAGAUAGAAUAGAAAUUUUAAAAGUUAGAGUUGGAGAUAAAAUGGAAGUAUCUGGUGAAAUUAACUGGAAUCAUUAUGGAAAUAAAACAGAAGGAUGGUUGAUCCAAGAUUUAGUGGAUAUGUCAGACAAAGCGGCAUUCACAGCCUGGAAAAGACAUGUGAAUGAUAAAUUAAAAUCGACAAUCACGUUAUUCGAGGAAGAUUUAUUGGAUGCUUUAAAUAACAGUACACCAAUGUCUUUGGAGGGUAUUAAUUUGUACAAAGGUUCUGGACAUACAUGGUCUGAUAUUGGAGGGUUAACAGAAAUAAAACAGACAUUGGUUGAGAUUCUUCAGUGGCCUUUGAAGUAUCCUCAAAUUUUCAAAAAAGCUCCAAUAAAAUUACAAAGUGGUGUUUUAUUGUAUGGAAUGCCAGGGACUGGAAAAACUUUAUUAGCCAGCGCAAUAGCAAAAGAAUGUGGAUUAAACGUGAUUAGCGUGAAGGGUCCUGAAUUAUUAUCAAAAUACAUUGGUGCUAGUGAGGAGUCAGUACGACACGUUUUUGAAAAGGCACAAAAAGCCAAGCCCUGCAUUAUAUUUUUCGAUGAAUUCGACAGUCUUGCUCCUAGACGUGGUCAUGAUAGUACUGGAGUAACUGACAGAGUAGUUAAUCAAUUAUUGACACAAUUAGAUGGCGUAGAGGGAAGAGAAGGUGUUGCGAUUGUUGCAGCAACUUCAAGGCCAGAUUUAUUGGAUCCAGCAAUUCUGAGACCAGGACGUCUGGAUAAACUGUUGCUUUGCCCUCUACCAAACGAGAUUGAAAGGGAGGAAAUUUUAAAGGCCAUAUGCAAAUCAAAUCGUAUAAAUAUAGAGAAUUUGGAUUUAAAAGAGUUGGCAAAUUUGUCAACGGGAUUCACUGGCGCUGAUUUGAAUGCAGUUUUAACUCAGGCAAGAUUAGCAGUUUUAGAGGAAGCUGUAGAGGCUGCGUCUUUGGAGGAAAGGAAAACCAUCGAUGAUAGAAAACUGACUCAAAAACAUUUACUCAAUUCGUUGAAAUCGAUCGAUCCAUCCUUGACAUCAGCGGAGAAAAAUAAAUUCAACUUUAUAUAUUCACAAUUUUCAAAAGGAGGAGCAUUUUCAGGAGGUACUCCAUGGAAGCAGAAAGCAACUUUGGCUUAAUUUAAAAGUCGCGAUGAGUUUCCGGGCGGUACCUAUAUAUAUAUAUAUACAUCUUCUUCUUCUUCUUCUUCAUCUUCUUUGAGGCAAAUCUUUGGUUCAACAUGUGGUACUAAAAACAGGUAAGAAUCUACAAAGUGGUCCUUGAAGGCUCUGUGAUCGACUGAAUGACAAAAAGAAAAUGCUGCCAUUGCUCCAUCGAGAGAAUCAACGAUCGAUUAAAAGAAUGCUGAAGAAGUUUGACUAACACUUAAGAGGCGCAUGCGUGAGAUUG